rnacentral:rRNA from 1 species
UACAGAGGAGCCAAGCGUUGUCCGGAUUGACUGGGCGUAAAGCGCACGCAGGCGGCAUCGCGCGUGGGGUGUGAAAUCUGGCCGCUUAACGGCCAGGCGCCAUCCCAUACGGCGAGGCUGGAGCGAUGCAGAGGUCGGUGGAAUUGCCGGUGUAGUGGUGAAAUUCGUAGAUAUUGGGAAGAACACCGAUGGCGAAGGCAGGUCUCUGGGCCAUAACUGACGCUGAGAAGCGAAAGCAUGGGGAGCGAACAGG